rnacentral:lncRNA from 10 species
UGCAUCAUCAAAAAGAAGUCAGUCAUUCUAGCCUGGAGCUUUAGAAGACGAAGUAAAAAAGAAGUCAGACAGUCCUAGCUUUGAAUCCUGGCCCAGCCACUUACUAGGUGGGAGACCUUGGGAGCGAGUCCAGCGGAUUCGUGGAAAUGGAUGGAGGCUGCUGAGUUGAGAGACUGAGAAGUGGAGGUACCUAGGAAGGUCCUCCCUGAAAAUACAUCGGGUUGUAAAACCUGGAAAGAAAUACCUCCAUUUGUCAGGCACUCACAGGGCGCUCUCCUCUGGCAGCUCCCAUGUUGAGCGCCCAGGGCAGCGACCAGACGGCGUCCUGUCCUCCUGCACGGGGCCAGAACUGGAUGGUCCCGCGACACAUCGUGUCUGCAGCUUUAGAGGCCUCCCCAGGAGUGCUACCGCGGUCAUUUCUGCCCAGCUGUAAAAUAACACCCAAUCAGCGAGCCGCCAGCUGCAAACUGUUCCGACCUACUCCUCCCUCCCCGGCUUAAUUCCCACCUAUACCAAAGUGGCCCCACGCGGGCAGAAGCGAAAGACGGAAAUGAGGGGAGGCCAACUACUCGAGAUCUGCGCCCGAAGCAGAUUUUCCACGCGCUCAGAGUAGGGUCGGGGAAAGGCCCACUUGGGGCUUCUGAGAGAGAGGGAAGGGCAGGGAAAGGGCUGCCCCCCAGCAAGACACAGUUGGGUGAACAACUGAGUCUUUGCCUCGUUGACAAAGGAGAAUGAGGGACUCGCGCCAGGCUGGCUUGAACUGACUGGAGAAAAGCGACUUCUGUAAUUCAGGGCCCUCCUCGUGCGAAGGAAACUUUGGCAAAGCAGAAAGACAGGCAUGCAGUUUCCAGGCGGAAAAACGUGAACCAUGGGACAUGAUGGGCUCCAGGGCCGUGGAUGCAGUUGCCCGAGGCCCCAGGGCCGCCCCCGGAAGGCCGGGACUGCCAGGGACUCGGCGUGGGGGUGCUGACUGCCGCUCCAGGCCUCGGGGUUCAAGCACUCCAGCAGCAUCCGCUCACCACGCUCCCCGCCCACUUCCAUGAUCACGAGGGGGCAAGGCUAGCCAAUCCGGGGUGGCCACUGCCCGGCCCUGCGAGGACUCGAGGCGCACUGGGAAACUGCGCGGUGCCUAGAGGUACAAAGAACAGGUCCUGGGAGGGUAGUAGGAGGGGACCUUAGCACAGCCUAUGUCAGUUUGUCAACAAGGAUUUGCUGAGAAGUCGCACUGUGCUCAGCAUAGCGGCACUGCCUACCUAAUGGGCUUUGGGGCAUAGACAGUGAAUAACCUGGCAGUGAUAAUAGUGUGCUGAAAGAAAGGCCAGCCCCAACAGCCACUACAGGAACCUCAGAAAGGAGGGGGCGUCCCUGUUAGUGGCUGAUACUGGAUUUCUCUCAUUGUGUUCGUGGCUGGCGCCAAACCAGAGAUCAUAAUGUAUAACAAAUAAAUGUGAAGUUUCUUACAUCCAAGUGGCCAGGGAAAACCUAUACUAAUUACAUGGUACAAACCCGCUGUGAUCAGGUGCUAAAUUGGGUGGCAGUCAGAGUACAGCUGUAGAGAUAUCUCUGAGGGCCAGAGUGAUCAGGAAAAGCUUUGUGGAAGAGGAAGAACUGGAGUUAGGUGCUGAAUGACGGGCAGGAUAUGGACAAGCAGAGGAAAGUGGGAAGGCGUUCCAGGAGGGAAGGGGCAGCAUAGCCAAAGCCCGGGGGAUGAGCAUGGUGGGUUUAUGGGGUUUUAGAGGGAUUAGCCUGUUUGGAGUGUAGCAGGUGCUCUGAAGAGCAUGGGACAGAAGAGAGCACAGGCAGCUGGAGGGUAGAGAUGGGGGCUAAUUGCAGAAUCCCACAGUGCCUAGGAAGGUCUCAGCUGUCAGGGUCUUCUCCUGAGACUCAUUCUCAGCUCCUUUUGGGGUUUAGGAAAGAUCUUUCAUGAGAGUUCCAAACAUUUUAGUUAAUGUUUAAUUCCUUCUCACUGAAUCCCCAUGGAAGGGGGCAAAAAGCAAGUGCUACUCCUCCAAGGUACUAAAACCCUGGUGCUGAGGAUGAGGCUGCUCCAGAGGG